GAUGAACGCUGGUGGCGUGCCUAAUACAUGCAAGUCGAGCGAACAGAUGAGGAGCUUGCUCCUCUGACGUUAGCGGCGGACGGGUGAGUAACACGUGGAUAACCUACCUAUAAGACUGGGAUAACUUCGGGAAACCGGAGCUAAUACCGGAUAAUAUAUUGAACCGCAUGGUUCAAUAGUGAAAGACGGUUUUGCUGUCACUUAUAGAUGGAUCCGCGCCGCAUUAGCUAGUUGGUAAGGUAACGGCUUACCAAGGCAACGAUGCGUAGCCGACCUGAGAGGGUGAUCGGCCACACUGGAACUGAGACACGGUCCAGACUCCUACGGGAGGCGGCAGUAGGGAAUCUUCCGCAAUGGGCGAAAGCCUGACGGAGCAACGCCGCGUGAGUGAUGAAGGUCUUCGGAUCGUAAAACUCUGUUAUUAGGGAAGAACAAAUGUGUAAGUAACUAUGCACGUCUUGACGGUACCUAAUCAGAAAGCCACGGCUAACUACGUGCCAGCAGCCGCGGUAAUACGUAGGGCGCGAGCGUUGUCCGGAAUUAUUGGGCGUAAAGGGCUUGUAGGCGGUUGGUCGCGUCUGCCGUGAAAUCCUCUGGCUUAACUGGGGGCGUGCGGUGGGUACGGGCUGACUUGAGUGCGGUAGGGGAGACUGGAACUCCUGGUGUAGCGGUGGAAUGCGCAGAUAUCAGGAAGAACACCGGUGGCGAAGGCGGGUCUCUGGGCCGUUACUGACGCUGAGGAGCGAAAGCGUGGGGAGCGAACAGGAUUAGGUACCCUGGUAGUCCACGCUGUAAACGUUGGGCACUAGGUGUGGGGGCCACCCGUGGUUUCUGCGCCGUAGCUAACGCUUUAAGUGCCCCGCCUGGGGAGUACGGCCGCAAGGCUAAAACUCAAAGGAAUUGACGGGGGCCCGCACAAGCGGCGGAGCAUGCGGAUUAAUUCGAUGCAACGCGAAGAACCUUACCAAGGCUUGACAUGCACGGCGGCACUGCAGAGAUGUGGUGGCAUUUAGUUGGUCGUGUGCAGGUGGUGCAUGGUUGUCGUCAGCUCGUGUCGUGAGAUGUUGGGUUAAGUCCCGCAACGAGCGCAACCCUUGCCCUAUGUUGCCAGCACGUGAUGGUGGGGACUCGUGGGGGACUGCCGGGGUUAACUCGGAGGAAGGUGGGGAUGACGUCAAAUCAUCAUGCCCCUUAUGUCUUGGGCUUCACGCAUGCUACAAUGGCUGGUACAGAGGGUUGCGAUACUGUGAGGUGGAGCGAAUCCCUUAAAGCCAGUCUCAGUUCGGAUUGGGGUCUGCAACUCGACCCCAUGAAGGUGGAGUCGCUAGUAAUCGCAGAUCAGCAACGCUGCGGUGAAUACAAUCUCGGGCCU
rnacentral:rRNA from 1 species